UACGGGGGGGGCAAGCGUUGUUCGGAAUUACUGGGCGUAAAGGGCUCGUAGGUGGCCAACUAAGUCAGACGUGAAAUCCCUCGGCUUAACCGGGGAACUGCGUCUGAUACUGGAUGGCUUGAGUUCGGGAGAGGGAUGCGGAAUUCCAGGUGUAGCGGUGAAAUGCGUAGAUAUCUGGAGGAACACCGGUGGCGAAGGCGACAUCCUGGACCGGUAUUGACACUGAGGGACGAAAGCUAGGGGAGCGAAUGGG
rnacentral:rRNA from 1 species